ACAAAGAUAAAUGUAGAAUAGGAAAGCAUGGAAAAAAGGAGCAAUAUGCUAUAACGUUUAAGUUUUCCCAGUGUAGAUUUUGGUCUAGCCCCCCUCAUUUCACGCUUUUAUCUUAACUGAUUAGAUCUUAGAGUCCCUAUCGGCGUUGUUUUUCUUAGAAACACAUAUGUGCUAUCGAUAGAGUCGACCGUUAGACUUUAAUAGCUUUCUGGUGAAUGAUAUGGGCCUUGCAUCCCAUAACUCGUCUUAAGUAUUAGGUUCGCUAAGCCCUUUAUAGUGUUAAUAAGGCCCUUUUUUGCAUUUCUGUGGCGACCGUUGGCAAGUCGCGUACCCCAAGCCGUCAGUCUUAUUUAAGCAGAAAUCUGAGAUAUCUUGGCAUUCGUGAGUUAAACUUUGUGGCAGUAAGUUAAGCCGUGUCAGUCAUGUAGUGGACGUUAGUUGUUUUGUGAUGGACCAGCCUAGAAUUUUCUUCUGGGCUGGUCCCUGGCCCAAGUCCCAGUUAUCACCUAUCGCUAGCACCUGAAUCCACAUUACACUGUGGCCAAAGCUAUUCUUUGUCGUUCCUUUUAUUUCGACUUCGCCGCUGGGUAAAUGACCUGGCCUAGAUAAAGAAUGCCUCUAAGGGCAUCCUCUACAUCUGUUUCAAGUAAGUUACGCAUCCUUUAUUAGAAGUAUUGAGAUGUCUUCUCGCGUGUCCAGAACAAGGAACUUAUGUUUGUGUUUCUUCCGUGGGAUAAGUUCAUUGACUUACAGUUUUAGCCCAUUUUUAGUGUUAAUAGUGACAUUUACAUAUAUGCCGGUCACUUGUUUUUUAUUUUUAAUAUUUAAAUAAAAGACAUUUUCACCAUGUAAAUUUUUUUGAGUAUCUUUAGAGUAUUAUUAUUGAGUAUUAUUAGAUUUAUAUAUAAUAUAUAAACAAAGAGCUCUUUCUUUUUUGUUGUAAGUGAACGGUAAGAAUAAGUUUUAUUUAGAGUAUCGAUUUUUUAUUUUUUUGAGUAACUUCAGUUUAUUUUUUUUUGAGUUAAUAAGAGUUAUAUUCGUUCACUUACAUUAUAGGUACAUCUCGUAUUUUGUUAGUUUUGCGGUGUUGGUGAAUACACCAACGUAUAUGCAAUUUGUUAACCAUUUUUAAAUAAUUAUUGAGUAAUUUUUGUUUUUGUGGUUGACGUUUUUACGUUUUAUUUGCAUAUAUUAUGUGAGCAUUAAGAGAUUUCAUUGAGUAUUUUAAUAAAUGUUUUGUUAAAGUGUA
rnacentral:lncRNA from 1 species